rnacentral:lncRNA from 1 species
CAAAAUGUGGCUGGGGUUGCGACAGUGUUUGUGGUCACCCUGCGGCAGCUGGCAGAGAAGUCACAGGUGCCCUUAAUAAAGAGCCAAGCCACGGACACCUGUGGAAAACCCGACAUGCGGCUGCAGCUGGGGAUAAAGCAGGGGAGCCCUGCCCUCCAGGGGGCCUCAGUUUGGUGGGAGAGACAGACGUGUGACAUCUCCAAGGGUCCCCGCGAGUGACCUCUCUUGGUAUUCACAGAGCUCCUGUGAAUGAAGUGCUGUGGUCACCCUUCUUCAGAUGAGGAAAAUGAGGUGCACGGAGGUGAGGUGAUCUGCCUGCAGAUUCAAAUCUAACACCCCCAUUCAACCCACUAGUCUAGCUCUCUCUCCCUGACCCACACUUGUAUCCAUUAGUUUGAUUGCAGGGAACAGACAGCAAACUCAAAUUAUUUGAAAGAAAGAAUGUUGAUUGGGUUUUAUGAAUAAGAGUCCCUCAAAGUGGAAAGAACUUCAGGCAUGGCUGGAUACAGGGGUCUCAAAUUCCUCAUUAGAGGUCUCCCUUUCUUUUCUUUGUCUGUUUUUGGAACUGGGGAUUUAACUCACUUUACCACUGAGCUGUAUCCUCUGCCAUUUAUUUAUCUAUUUGUUUGUUUAUAUAUAUAUAUUUUUUAUUCAGAGACAAGGUGUCACUAAGUUGUUUAGAGCCUAAGUUGCUGAGACUGGCCUCUAACUUGUGAUGUUUGUCUCAGCCUCCCAAGUCGAUGGGACUGCAGCUGUGCACCACCAUACUGGGCUCUCUCCCUUUCUUGUUUUAGAUUCUUAGUUGGGCUGUCUUCUACUUUCCUACUUUAUUGUCUACAGUAGGAACAAAGGUGGCCACAAUGUCUCUGAGUUAUUUGGUUCUAACUGGUUGUUUGUUUGCAGAAGGAGAGAAAUUCUUAUUUUCUUAGCUCAUGUAAGUCCCACAGAGUACUCCGGGCAUGAUUUCCCAUCCUGGGACUAAUCAUGAGGUCCAGAAGGAUGGAGUAUUGUGAGUGUCCAGCCAGAGUCCUGUGCCAUAGUCCCUGUUCCCCAACAUGUCUGCCCUCUAUUCCUUCUCUAUCUGUCCGUACGUCACACCCUCCUCAAGAGAUGGAGUCUGUUCUUCUCUCCUUACAAAUCUUGGUGUGUCCCAGCAACUUUUUUGAUCAAUAAAAUGUGGGAUGCUAGACACAGUGGCCUGUAAUUCCAUUGACUUGGGAGGCUGAGGCAGGAAGAUCACAAGUCUGAGGCCAGCCUCAGCUACUUAGCAAAGUCCUAAGGAACUUAGUGAGACUCUGUCUCAAAAUAAAAACCAAAAAGAGCUGGGGAUGUGACUCAGUGGUAAAGCACCCCUGGGUUCAAUUCCCAGUACUCCCCCCACCCCCAAAUGUGGAAGGAGUAAUGUUCUGGGAUUUCAAAGGCUACUUAAUAAGAAUCUUGAUGCUUCUGAUUUGGUCUCUCGAAACUCUUUCUUUUGAUCCCAGGUGACUCAUGUAAUGGUUCUGUUAGAAGGACUAUGUGGGGACACCACGAAGAGGGAGAGGAGAGCAGCUGAGUCUUACCUUCCAGGUUCCUGCCAACGUGCCACAGAGGAGUGAAGUCAUCUUGGAGAAGUCAGACCUGACAGCCCCACUGAGUACUUUUGAGUGGUCCCGGUUGAUAUCAUGUGGUCUAGAAGAAUCACUCAGUACCAAAUUCCUGACCUAAAAAUUAUGAGUAAUAGCAAAAUUGUUCUUUAAGCUGCUGAAGUUUGGAAUCAUUGUUAUAUAGCAACAGAUAACCAAAAUAAAAUUUUUAGGUUGUAUAGUUUGCUUUAGUAAAUGCUGCCGGUUCUUCAAAAUGAUUAAACGGAUUUAUGCAUCAGUAAAUGCUGCCGGUUCUUCAAAAUGAUUAAACGGAUUUAUGCAUCUAACAAAAGGGUGAGAGAGAUAUAAUUGCUUCACAGUCUUGCUGAUAAUUAAUGCUGCCAUAUUUUCAAUUUAGCCAUUUUGGUGUGUAGUGAUAUCACAUGAAAGUUUCAGAUUGUGUUUAUUUGAUGACGAAUGAGGUUGGUUACCUUUUACUAAUUUCCCUUGUCCAUUGGAGGUGUUCUUUAACAACACUUUUCCAGAUAGAGGUAUAGGCAUCACUCAUGAAAGGGGAACAUUCUGUGAAAUAUGUUGUUAGUGACUUCAUUGUUAUGUGAACAUAAGAGUAUACCUAAUGCAAAUGUAGGUAGCUGUGAUGUCCUAGGCAAUACAAUCUUAUGGGACCACUACUGUAUAUAUGAUCUACCAUUGACCAAAACGGUGUUAUGAAUAUCAUUGUGUAUGUGAGAAUGUAUGUGGAAAGCAAAAUACCUUCUCUAAGUUUGUGGCUUAUCUUUUCACUCUCUUACUGGAAUAUUUUGAUAAAAAUAGUUCAUAACUUCAUUGAAGUCUAAUUCAUCCAUUUUCUUUUAUAGUUAAUGCUACUUUUGUCCUAUUUAAGAAAUAUUUGCCUACUUUAAUAUUGAGAAGGAUUCUCUUAUAUUUUCUUUUAAAGGCAUUAUAGAUUUAAAUUUCAAUUUAUCUAGACUCGAUUUUCAAAUAUGGCGUGAAGUACAGUUCAAAUAUAUCUCUCUCCAAAUGUAUGUUGGCACCAUUUAAUGAAAAUAGAAAUUGUGUUCUUUAAAAAUGUCCCUAGUGGACUGGGGAUGUAGCUCAGUUGGUAAUGCUUCCCUUGCAUGCACGAGGCCCUGGGUUCAAUCCCCAGCACCACACACACACACACACACACACACACACAACACACGUCACUAUCUGAUUCCUGGCUUCCAUGAGCUGAGCAGCUUUAUUUCUCAUGCCUUCCCACCAUGUUCUGCCUCGCCUGGGGCCCAGAACAAUGGAGUUGGUUGACCAUGGACUGAACCUCUGAAACUAUGAGCCCAAAGUAAACUUUUGCUCCUCUAAGUUGUUCUUGAUAGAUAUUUUGGUCACAUCAAUGAAAAACUGACCAACACAGAAAUUGGUUCUAAGACACGGGUUUGUAGCUGUGACAAUAUCUGACCAUGUGGUUCAAAAGACUUUAGUACAGGUUUGCAGGAAGAGUUUGGAACAAUUUGGAGAUGCAGGCUAGAGAAGACUUAGAAUGCUGUAUGCAGAGCUUAAUGGGAGAUUCUGGUGUAAGCUCAGAAGACCAGAAUGCUGAUAUGAUUGUGAACGGUAAAGACUGUGCUCAUGAGAUUUCACUGGGGAGUGGGGACUUUGUUGGGAAUUGAACAAGAGGCCAUUUUGAUACAUUCUGGCAAAGAACUUGUCUACAUUUUGUCCAUGUUCUGAGACUUUGUUGAGGCCAAGUUUAAAGGUAAUGGAUUAAUCUGGUAAAGACAAAUUCAAGGCAGAAUAGCACUCAGGCAAUGGCAUGGAAGUAGCUAUCAGCUUUUAGACAGAUUUACUGUUACCAAUUGGGAGCAGAAAGCAGAAAAGAAAGAUUUAAAAACUCAAAGUUUGGUCAGAAAAAUGCAUGUAAAACUGGGGCCAGGGAUGUUGUUGCUAAAGAGAUUACCACCAUUAAAGAGAAGCUAAGCAUUUUGCCCAGAGACAAUAGGAAAGUUGUCUUGAAGGAAUCUCUAGAAUAAGUAAGAUCAUACCAUUGCAGGCUCAAGGGUGUAAAUGUGAAAAUUCAUUUGAGGAGAGACAAUGGGGGUACCCUGCUUGCACAGAGGUGCCCAGGAGGUUGUUUUCCAAUAUUUGUCUCAUGAUGCUUAGUUUCCUGGGCACUCAGAGGCUGUUGCAGCUAUGGUCAAAGGUAGUGUGUCUAGUGUUCAGUUUGGUGGCUGACCUUGACAUUGUUCACAGGACACUGGUUCUGCAGGAAUGCAGGAUGCUGGAGUUAUGGGGUUAUGGAAGCUCUCUCCAAUAUUCCAAAGGAAGGCCUAGAAGGUCAGGUAGUGUGCAUGAGGGUUGUAGUACCUGCAUGAGGCCCCCAAGGGAGCAAUGCAUGAAGCUGUGAGAAUGAAGCCAAAGCUGAAAUGGAGACCACAGGGCUUAAGAGAUGCCAGGAAGGUGGGACAUCUGCUGAAGAAAGCUGCAGCAGGGGAGUAGAGCCAGGCCCAGAGAGAGGCCAUGUGGGAUGCAGCUGGAAAGGCCAUCAGACCAGGGCUGCAUAUGUCCUUUGGGGAUUGCAUUUCACCACCAUGUUUUGCAGAUGCUGGGUGUGAUUCUACUGCAUUUGUUUGCCCACCUGGGUUUCGGUCUUGUUUUAGUCCUACCCCUUCUAUCUCUGUCCAUAUUCCACCCUUUUGAAAUGGGAAUGUUUACUCUUUGCCAUUGUAUAUUGGAGCUUGCUUUUAAUUUUUACAGGGGUUCACAGCCAAGGGUUUGUCUUGAGCCUCAAAUGAUACUUUGGACUUAAACUUGAGCAAUAGUGGGAUUGUUAAGACUAUGGUGAUUCUUGGAGAUGGAAUGCCUUUUGUGUCGUAAGAUGGGCAUGUGUUUUUGGGGACCAGGGUGGAAUGCUAUGGUUUGAAUGUGAGGUGUUCCCCCAAAAGCUCAUGUGUUAGAUAAUGAAAAAAUUUUCAGAAGGUAAAUGAUUAGAUUAUGAGACAUGUAACCUCAUCAGUGGAUUAAUCCACUUUAUGGAUUUAUUAUUUGAAUGGACUUCUGGGUGGCAACUGUAGGCAUACCUGGAGGAAGUGGGUCACUGGGAGCAUUAUAUCUUGAAUAUGGCUCCUCACUCUCUCUCUCUCUGCUUCCUGGCUGCCAUGAACCGAGCAGAGAUCCUCUACCAUGCCCUUCUGCCAUAAUGUUCUGCCCACCUUUGGCCCAGAUCAGUGUAGUCAGCUGACUAUGAACUAAAUCUCUGAAAGCAUGAGUUCAAAAUAAAAUUUUCCUUCCUCUACAAAGAAUGUUAGUAUCAUAAAAGAAAAUAAUAUGUUACCCUAUUAGAGGAGACUAAAGAGACACAACAUCUGUGAUGCUGUGAUUUCUGAGAAGGAGGUGGUCCUUUUAAAGGGCUUUGUCAAGAAGCUCCUCCCAGGGAUUGGGAAGAUCCACUGAAAGUCCAGCAAAUCACCCUUGGUGACUUAUUAAAUGCAGAACCUAAGCCCUUUACAGAGGAAGCAUGAGUUGUGCUAUGGAGACAUUAUUGAGACAAUUGACAAAAUUGGAAUAUGGAUAGUAUAUUAGAUUCAUGACAAAUUUCCUGAAAUUGGUAGCUUUACUGAAAAAAUAAUAUCUUAAAAAUUUGGGAGCUAUUUACUGAGUUAUUUAAGGGUAAAGGAGUAUGAUGUAAAUUUAUUCAACAUAUUAUGAAAAGAUGCAAAUAUAUAUGCACACAUGUGUGUGUGUUGGGAGGGGAGUGUUUAUGGGACAAGAGGAAGGGCAUAUGGGUGUUUGUACUAUUUUUGUUCUUGCAACUUUUUAUUUCCAAAUAAAAUUAUUUCCAAACAUGAAGCUUAAA